rnacentral:rRNA from 1 species
GUGGGGAAUUUUGGACAAUGGGCGCAAGCCUGAUCCAGCAAUGCCGCGUGCAGGAAGAAGGCCUUCGGGUUGUAAACUGCUUUUGUACGGAACGAAACGGUCCUGGUUAAUACCUGGGGCUAAUGACGGUACCGUAAGAAUAAGCACCGGCUAACUACGUGCCAGCAGCCGCGGUAAUACGUAGGGUGCGAGCGUUAAUCGGAAUUACUGGGCGUAAAGCGUGCGCAGGCGGUGCUGUAAGACAGGCGUGAAAUCCCCGGGCUCAACCUGGGAAUUGCGCUUGAGACUGCAGUGCUGGAGUACGGCAGAGGGGGAUGGAAUUCCGCGUGUAGCAGUGAAAUGCGUAGAUAUGCGGAGGAACACCGAUGGCGAAGGCAGUCCCCUGGGCCUGUACUGACGCUCAUGCACGAAAGCGUGGGGAGCAAACAGGAUUAGAAACCCGGGUAGUCC